GGUGGUAGUGGUGAGGGACAUAUUGUCAUAGUCUUUCAGAUUUUGUUUUGUGUGAUGUGACCUGAGCAUAUGGACUUACUUUAUUGGCUGUAUGUCUGAAAUGACAAUCUUGCUAUCUCUGUUGGAUGGAAGUUUUGCUGUUUCUCAAAAUUGGUUGAUUUCAGAUCAGAAAUGAGGAGUUUGUAGGUCAGAUCUUAGUAUUCAGUGUUAAUUUUUAAUUGGAGACACUGGCUUGAUUCCAAUUUAGUGGUAACUGGGGAAACCUGCAAAUGGACUUGGUCUGAGUACAGAAGGGCCACGUGGGGGAAGGGAUCUGGGACAGACUCGCCGACAGAGAGUGGGAGUUUGACUCCCUGGUGGGCCUGGGCAAGGAGGGGUGGGGCUGAGGCGACUCACCACCAGCACGUGUGUGGGUGCACUCUGGGCGUGGAGAGAUGCCGACAAGGUGUGGAAUGUGUACGGAAGAGCGUGGCUGCCAGAGCGGUGAACAUUUACACAACUUCCCUGCAUAUAACUCAUCCGUGUUGGGAGAUGCAUUGCUUGGACCUGUGGAACUAGGCAAGUGACCACACCGGGCCUCAGUUUCCUCAUUUGUAAACCAGGCUGAUGCUGAUGUUCCUUCCCGAGGCUGAUGGAAUGACUGAAUGGGAUGCCGAGCGUGAAAGGUGGAGAAGAACCAGGCGUGUGUCAGGCACUCCGUCCACAGAGCAAAAGGAGCAGACAUCAAAAAGGACAAGACUGUCUUUGCCCAGGUGACCUCAAUAACUGUUUCCUCAAAUAUAUGCAUCUGAGACAAUUGCAAAAUGGCUAGCUAGGUAGUCCAGCAUCACAGACUGUUCCAGUGAAUACUUCAGCUAAGCUCUGAAAUUUCUCAGCAUUCAGAGACUGUACAGCAAAAGUUACAGGUAGCUUUCUUAAGACUGGACAAUAUCCCAAUUUCUUGGUCAUUCCAAAAGAAAAACUAUGUCCCAAAUCAGCAGGAAGCAAUUUAAGAAAAUUACACCCAUUCCCAAGAGAUAGUGGAUGUUUUUGUUUUUUUGUUUUUGUUUUUUUUUUUUGGUCAUUCUAUGGGUGAUAGAUAUUUGUUAUUGUUUUAAAGGGAUUUGUUAUAGGGAUGAUAAAUAAAGGGUAGAUUAUUAAAUCUACUUUUAGAACAAAACAUUAAUAAACCAAAAUUCUUACAUUGAUAUAAAUCUUUGUAUAUUAAUACAGAUUUAAGAUUAUAUUUGGUUACAACAUGCUAAGGUAUUGUACCUAUAUAAUUCUUAAAACUGAAAUGUUAAAUUCUAGUCCUUUUUACAUAAUUAUUUUUAUUAAUUACAGUUUAUUCACUUUGUAUCCCCCAUGUACAUCCCUCCCUCCUCCCCUCCCAAUCCCACCCUCCUCCUUCCCCACCCCUGUCCAUCUCCCAGUCCACUGAUAAGGGAGGUCCUCUUCCCCUUCCCUCUGAUCCUAGUCUAUCAGGUCUCAUCAGGAGUGGCUGCAUUGUCUUCUUCUGUGGUCUGGUAAGGGCUCCCCCCUCAGGGGGAGGUGAUCAAAGAGCAGGCCAAUCAGUUCCUGCCAGAGACAGUCCCUGUCCCCAUUACUAUGAAGGACACUGAACUGCCAUAGGCUACCUCCAUGCAGGGGUUUCAGGCCAUCUCCAUGAGUGGUUCUUGGCUGGAGUAUCAGUUUCAGAAAAGACCCCUUUGCCCAGACUUUUUGGAUCUGUUGCUCUCCUUGUGGAGCUCCUGUCCUCUCUAGGUCUUACUAUCUCCCACUUCUUUCAUAAGAUUCCCUGCACUCUGCCCAAAGUUUGGCUAUGAGUCUCAGCAUCUGCCUCAAUACCCUGCAGGGUAGAGCCUUUCAGAGGCCCUCUGUGGUAGGCUCCUGUCCUAUUCCCUGUUUUCUCCCUCCUCCAAUGUCCAUCAUGUUUGCCUUUCUGAAUGAGGAUUGAGCAUCUUAGCCAGAGCUGUCCUUCUUGUUUAGCUUCCAUAGGUGUAGAGAUUUUAGUAUGUUCAUCCUAUAUUAUAUGUCUAAUAUCCACUUUUGAGUGAGUAUGUACCCUAUGUGUCUUUCUGCUUCUGGGAUACCUCACUCAGGAUGAUCUUUUCCAGUUCCCACCAUUUACCUGCAAAUUUCAUGAUUUUCUUGUUUUUUUAUUGCUGAGUAAUAUUCCAUUGUGUAGAUGUAUCACAAUUUCUAUAUCCAUUCCUCAACUGAGGGGCAUCUGGGCUGUUUCCAGCUUCUGGCUAUUAUAAAUAAAGCUGCUACAAACAUGGUUGAGCAGAUGUCCUUUGAGCAUCUUUUGGAUAUAUGCCUAGGAGUGGUAUAGCUGGAUCUUGAGGAAGCACUAUUCCUAAUUGUCUGAGAUAGCGCCAGAUUGAUUUCCAAAGUGGUUGUAUAAGUUUCAGUUCUUUUGAAAACUGCUAUUAAGAACUGUUUAUGAUAUGUAAGAAAUGUAUACUAGCAGUUAGACAAGCAAACUCAUGGCCUUGUUAAAUGAUAGUCUAAUAAAUUAAAAAUAUGCUUCCUAGAUUGACAGAUAAAAAAUAGUUUGAAACAAACAAUUCAGAUAAGAUAAAUAGAUAGCUGAUCUUAAAAAAACCUCAGAGAUCUAUAGAAUACGGCACUUAAAGAUAUUUUAUUAAUUUAAGGCUUUUUUUUUUUUUUGACCAUGAGACAAGUCUGCUCCUGGAAGCACCCCUGUUCUACUUCAAAGAGCUUCAAAGGCUCACAUGUGGCAAGCUAGCCACUGGAUGAGAAAAUGCCCUUGUGUCAAUUACAGACAAAAUACUGUCUAAACUGGACAAAUUGGAGGUGGGAAAGUCGACUGCUGAGCUUUGCAAGAACAAGGUAGGCAAGUCCUUUCUUCACAGAGAGGUCUGUCAAAUAUUCUGAGCUGGAAGGCUAACGAUGAUGCUCCAAUGUUAUUGAAGAACUUCUCAGGACGGUCCAGGCCAGAUAUCUCUGUCAUUUCUGUGCCUUUGGAAGUUCCUUGCCUACUCUUCCUACAUAUUCAGGUCUUGUGUAUGGAGUCACAGUCACUAUGAGUUCAUUCGUGGAACAAUCCUAAAGAAGGUAAACACUAAGGAGGACCCUAGAGAGGAUGCUUAAUUCUCAUUCAGUAUGGCAAACAGGAAAGACACCAGAAGCGGUGGAAGAGAGGAAACAGGAUGGCGGCCUACUACAGAGGGUCCUCUGAAAUGAUCCACCCAACAGGGGAUUGAAGCAGAUGCUGAGCGUCGCAGCCAAACUUUGGGCAGAGAGCAGGGAGUCUUAUGGAAGAAGAGAGGGGUGGGGAUAGAGCGACAUGGAGGGGACAGGAGCCCCACAAGGAGACCAACAAAGCUAAAGGAUCUGAGUCCAGGGGGUCCUGCAGAGACUGAUGCACCAGUGGAGGACCAUGCAUGGAGAGGACCUAGACCCCCUGCUCAGAUGUGGCUGAUUGGCAGCUCAGUCUCCAUGUGGAUCUCUGAGUGAGGGGAGAUGGGGCUGCCUCUAUCGUGAACUCAGUUGACUGCUCUGUGAUCACUUGCCCCUGGUGAUGCAGCCUUGCUAGGCCACAGAGGAAGAGGAUCCAGGCCGUCCUAAUGAGAGUUAACAAGCUAUGGGCAGAUGGCAAUGGUGGAAAACUUCCCCUUUCAGUGGACUAGGGGAAGGGGAUAGAG